ACGGAAGGCAGCAGUGGGGGAUAUUGCACAAUGGGGGAAACCCUGAUGCAGCGACGCCGCGUGAGUGAUGAAGUAUUUCGGUAUGUAAAGCUCUAUCAGCAGGGAAGAAAAUGACGGUACCUGACUAAGAAGCUCCGGCUAAAUACGUGCCAGCAGCCGCGGUAAUACGUAUGGAGCAAGCGUUAUCCGGAUUUACUGGGUGUAAAGGGAGCGUAGACGGAUGUGCAAGUCUGAUGUGAAAGGCUGCGGCUUAACUGCAGGACUGCAUUGGAAACUGUACAUCUGGAGUGCCGGAGAGGUAAGUGGAAUUCCCAGUGUAGCGGUGAAAUGCGUAGAUAUUGGGAGGAACACCAGUGGCGAAGGCGGCUUACUGGACGAUAACUGACGUUGAGGCUCGAAAGCGUGGGGAGCAAACAGGAUUAGAUACCCUGGUA
rnacentral:rRNA from 1 species